rnacentral:lncRNA from 1 species
CCGUUUCCUUUUUUCCUUUUCUCCUUUUCUCCAGUCUGCUCUCGAAUACAUUUUUGCAGACGGAAGCUCACAAGUCAGCCGAGAAGAAGAAAUCCGUUUGCGGUAAAAUCUACUAUCAAUACACUGUGAGUGAUUCUCCGUCACAUAUUUUACUCUUCCUCAUUCUGCGUCUCUUUACACUCAGUUCUUCAUUUUGAAGCUUAAUAUCAUUACAAGCCCAUCACUAUUUCUGCCAUAUUAGUCUUCUUUGUAUGCUUUUAUGGGUUCAAAGCAGAAUUUAUAAUACUUAGCUUAAUGGUCGUCAAAUGAUGCAAAAUGGGUUUUUACAUUUUCUAAUUGGUGCUAUCAGGGCUUUGUGGGUUUAUGAAUAUAUAGUACAUUUUUUGAUUUGGUGGGUAUAUAUUGGCAACACGGGCUAAAAUUUUGAGGAGAUUUAAGAACUUUAAAAUCUGACUAGAUUAUUGAAUCUUUUGGUAAGAUUUCUGCCUCCCUUCUGUGCAUUUGGGAGUACUAAUUUUGCAGGUUUCUUCUGGCUAUAUUUGUCCUUGUGCUGCAUGUAUCGCUUCAAGCUUUAUCAAACUUUUCUGAGAAUAAUUUGGGCAGGGGCUUCACAUGUUUUCUUAGCCUUAAAUUGUUUCUGCUGCUUUCCUUCUAUGUCCUUCUCUUUUGUAAUAUUAUGUUCUCAAGGUUUCUUGUUGUUGCAUUUUGUAUUUCUAGUUUGUGCAGCAUGUAUCCCUCAAAUCAUAGAUUAUAGUUUGAAUCCCCAGUUCCCCACCAAAAUACAUGACUAUUUAUGGCUAAUUGAAUCAAUGAUAUACUAAUACUGCUAUUUCACUUUGGCAAGAGAUAUAUUGUGUUGUGAAUAUCUCAGCUACAAAAGGAUCUAAGCAGCACAAAGGGCAAAACCAAACUGCAGAAUUGUGUAGUGACUGUGAUACUACUCAAUUAUCACAGUAGGAGAGAGCAAUGUUCUGCUGCUAAUUAGGAUAAUGGUCCUUGCUGUAAAUAUGCUGCAAAAUAGUUAAUUAGCUUAGAUGUUAAGCUGAACUAAGUUUCUAUAUAAAUGUACUUGAGGUUUAGUUUGUGAGCAACAGAGAAUAAAUAAAAUAAUGUUUUCAGCUUCUUACGUUUCAUAUAUGGCUGCAACGAAG